CACGUGACCCUGAUUAUUAUUGAAACGAGAACGAGGGCGUCGUGCCUUUAUAAGACUGCGUUAAUGUUUCCGUGGAGUUAUCCCUUCCCUUGUUGUUUAUUGAUUGUUAAACAUGGCGUCAUUUGCAAAGGUGGUUGUGUGUGUCCUCAUUGCUUGUGUCUGUAAUGCAUUCUGUUUUCCGAAGAGAGAUGUGAACUUUAAGGCCUCUGCAGUUGACCGCCAAAGUGAUGAUGUGGUUGUCGCCACAACACCCGUUCCCCACAACCAGACCACAUCUGCCCAUACUGAAGCUGGUGGUGGUGCAAGUGAAGAUGCUGUGGCUACUACCCCAGCACCUAAUCCACACAACCAGACAACUUCUGAAGUUACUGAUGGAGCCAGUGAAGAUGCUGUGGACCGCCAAAGUGAUGAUGUGGUUGUUGCCACAACACCCGAUCCCCACAACCAGACCACAUCUGCCCAUACUGAAGCUGGUGGUGGUGCAAGUGAAGAUGCUGUGGCUACUACCCCAGCACCUAAUCCACACAACCAGACAACUUCUGAAGUUACUGGUAGGGUUUCUCUUUAGUUUUUGUGUGGUUCUCUGCAAGUUUGUUUUUUGUAUAAAAUGUGUAAGUGUGUCCUUUGGCUUCUCUUUGGCCCCCUCACUCAUGUGGAAUCCCAAGAUGGAGCCAGUGAAGAUGCUGUGGACCGCCAAAGUGAUGAUGUGGUUGUCGCCACAACACCCGAUCCCCACAACCAGACCACAUCUGCCCAUACUGAAGCUGGUGGUGGUGCAAGUGAAGAUGCUGUGGCUACUACCCCAGCACCUAAUCCACACAACCAGACAACUUCUGAAGUUACUGGUAGGGUUUCUCUUUAGUUUUUGUGUGGUUUUCUGCAAGUUUGGUUUUUGUAUAAAAUGUGUAAGUGUGUCCUUUGGCUUCUCUUUGGCCCCCUCACUCAUGUGGAAUCCCAAGAUGGAGCCAGUGAAGAUGCUGUGGACCGCCAAAGUGAUGAUGUGGUUGUCGCCACAACACCCGAUCCCCACAACCAGACCACAUCUGCCCAUACUGAAGCUGGUGGUGGUGCAAGUGAAGAUGCUGUGGCUACUACCCCAGCACCUAAUCCACACAACCAGACAACUUCUGAAGUUACUGAUGGCGCCAGUGAAGAUGCUGUGGACCGCCAAAGUGAUGACGUGGUUGUUGCCACAACACCCGAUCCCCACAACCAGACCACAUCUGCCAAUACUGAAGCUGGUGAUGGAGCAAGUGAAGAUGCUGUGGCUACCACCCCAGCACCAAAUCCCCCAACUACAUCUGACCACACUGCAGCUACCGAUGAUGCAAGUGAGGGUGCUGUGGAUGCCCAAACUGGAACUACUGUAUCCCAUACGACUGAAGUCUGAUUCGACUGCUCCUCUGGUCACAAUGACCUGAGACACUGUCUGGACUUUUUGCCUCUACAUGUUGACUGCAAUAAAGGACAGAUUUGUUUUUUUAAUCA
ensembl:lncRNA